GAUGAACGCUGGCGGCGUGCCUAAUACAUGCAAGUCGAGCGAACGGACGAGAAGCUUGCUUCUCUGAUGUUAGCGGCGGACGGGUGAGUAACACGUGGAUAACCUACCUAUAAGACUGGGAUAACUUCGGGAAACCGUAGCUAAUACCGGAUAAUAUUUUGAACCGCAUGGUUCAAAAGUGAAAGACGGUCUUGCUGUCACUUAUAGAUGGAUCCGCGCUGCAUUAGCUAGUUGGUAAGGUAACGGCUUACCAAGGCAACGAUGCAUAGCCGACCUGAGAGGGUGAACGGCCACACUGAAACUGAGACACGGUCCAGACUCCUACGGGAAGCAGCAGUAGGGAAUCUUCCGAAAUGGGCGAAAGCCUGACGGAGCAACGCCGCGUGAGUGAUGAAGGUCUUCGGAUCGUAAAACUCUGUUAUUAGGGAAGAACAUAUGUGUAAGUAACUGUGCACAUCUUGACGGUACCUAAUCAGAAAGCCACGGCUAACUACGUG
rnacentral:rRNA from 1 species